UAGAAUGUGGUGUAAUAUGGUAACAUAAAGAAUUUUUAAUUCUUAAGCGUAAGUUCAAUUCCUAUAAUUCUAG
rnacentral:tRNA from 1 species